UUUGUUACCCUGUUUGUUCAA
ensembl:piRNA 21ur-4215 ncRNA